CCGGCGGGGCGGCCCCGCUCCGCCCCGGUCGCUUCCUGCGGGAGGAGGAAGCGGUUCCCCUUCGCCAUGGAGCUGCCGCCGAGCCACUACUCCGCCACCCGGGCGGCGGCGCUGGCCGCCUGCUACCUCAGCUACCGGCGCGGGAGCCCCGGGCGCGGCCUGGCGCUGCGGGCCGUUCGCAGCGGCCGCAGGCAGGACAUUGAUGGUGUUGGGCGUAAGUACUAUCUGGAAUUGGUGUUAGAAGAUGUCCUUGACAAAGACAGUACUGUUAACUGCACAGCUGAGGUUCUUCAUCAUAUGGGCAACAAAAACAUUGCUCCAGAUGUGCAAUUCACAAUUGAAGGAGAACUUAAGAACACAGAUGAAGCAGAUAACAUAUUCUACAAUCGAAUCAAGAGCCUGGAAAAAGAGCUUGUGGCAGAAAACAUACCAGACAACCACGGCAACACAUCCCCAGAAAUGGAGCCCAUCCGGCUGCUAGCAUGGGUUGCCUCUGGCUAUGUGAUAUGGCAGAACUCGACUGAGAACACUAAGUUCCAACUUGCCCAAAUUAAACAUGUGAAGCAAGUGAAAAGAAGUGAUGAGUAUCUUGAAUUUGACUACAUGAUUCUACUUCACGAAAUGGUGUCCCAGGAGAUCAUUCCCUGGCAAAUGACAGUUCUCUGGCACCCACAGCAUGGUGUUCAAGUGACACGGGAGAGCCGUCAGCCAAAACAUGCAUCGGAAUAACGAACCACCCUAUACAGCAAUGGAAGAAGCUCAAAUGCUACAAUAAUCGUUUGAAUGGAGGCCAGAUAAGUUGAUGAUGGUGGAUACACAACCAAGCUACUUUGAGUCCAUGUUUACACAGGUCAAAGAUGUGCAUCUUCUUUAUGGCUAAGUGAUAUCAUUUAAUGCAGUCACAUGCUGCGUUAUCUGAAUGAUAUAUUAAGUACUUCAGAUAAAACAUUUGAAAACACUGCUCAUUUUAGUCUGCAGUUCCAUAUUUAACUGCAAACCUGCAUAAAAUUAUAAAAGCAGCAAAGGAAGGUAACUCAGUCAGAAGAAGGUUGAUUCAGACUCCUCCUACCUUGUUGGAAGGCUUCAUAGCUACUGAAAUGACAGGAUCAGGGAUGUGGAUUGAUUCCUGCAAUGGCCAUAAAGGAAGAGAUCACACAACUGAGUUCCACUACACUUGCUGAUGUCAUUUCUCCAGAACAGUUUGGUCACAAGAACCCAGGCUUACAAACAGGGUAUGACUGUUUUACUUAUCUACCCUGUAUCUAGUAUCAUAGUGUAACAAAACUAUGUAACUCUCCCAAGGAUUACUACAAGGCUGUAACAUAAUGCAUGCUGUACUGGCAGCCACAGUAUUUGCAACACCAUUUCCUAAAUGUACUGGAUUUCACACUGGUGAGAAGUCUGCUUCC